rnacentral:rRNA from 1 species
GUUUAUUUGAUAGUACCUUACUACUUGGAUAACCGUGGUAAUUCUAGAGCUAAUACAUGCUAAAAAUCCCGACUUCGGAAGGGAUGUAUUUAUUAGAUUAAAAACCAAUGCCCUCUGGGCUCAAUGGUGAUUCAUAAUAACUUCUCGAAUCGCAUGGCCUUGCGCCGGCGAUGGUUCAUUCAAAUUUCUGCCCUAUCAACUUUCGACGGCUGGGUAUUGGCCAGCCAUGGUGACAACGGGUAACGGAGGGUUAGGGCUCGACCCCGGAGAAGGAGCCUGAGAAACGGCUACUACAUCCAAGGAAGGCAGCAGGCGCGCAAAUUACCCAAUCCCGACACGGGGAGGUAGUGACAAUAAAUACUGAUACAGGGCUCUUUUGGGUCUUGUAAUUGGAAUGAGUACAAUUUAAAUCCCUUAACGAGGAACAAUUGGAGGGCAAGUCUGGUGCCAGCAGCCGCGGUAAUUCCAGCUCCAAUAGCGUAUAUUAAAGUUGUUGCGGUUAAAAAGCUCGUAGUUGAACCUUGGGCUUGGUUGGCCGGUCCGCCUCACCGCGAGUACUGGUCCGACCGAGCCUUUCCCUCUGGGGAACCGCAUGCCCUUCACUGGGUGUGUCGGGGAACCAGGACUUUUACUUUGAAAAAAUUAGAGUGUUCAAAGCAGGCCUAUGCUCGAAUACAUUAGCAUGGAAUAAUAGAAUAGGACGUUGCGGUUCUAUUUUGUUGGUUUCUAGGACCGCCGUAAUGAUUAAUAGGGACAGUCGGGGGCAUCAGUAUUCAAUUGUCAGAGGUGAAAUUCUUGGAUUUAUUGAAGACUAACUACUGCGAAAGCAUUUGCCAAGGAUGUUUUCAUUAAUCAGGAACGAAAGUUAGGGGAUCGAAGACGAUCAGAUACCGUCGUAGUCUUAACCAUAAACUAUGCGAACUAGGGAUCGGACGAUGUUAUUUUUUGACUCGUUCGGCACCUUA